rnacentral:rRNA from 1 species
AUUGAACGCUGGCAGCAUGCCUUACACAUGCAAGUCGAACGGCAGCACGGGAGCAAUCCUGGUGGCGAGUGGCGAACGGGUGAGUAAUAUAUCGGAACGUGCCCAGUCGUGGGGGAUAACGCAGCGAAAGCUGUGCUAAUACCGCAUACGAUCUACGGAUGAAAGCGGGGGAUCGCAAGACCUCGCGCGAUCGGAGCGGCCGAUAUCAGAUUAGCUAGUUGGUGAGGUAAAGGCUCACCAAGGCGACGAUCUGUAGCUGGUCUGAGAGGACGACCAGCCACACUGGAACUGAGGCACGGUCCAGACUCCUACGGGAGGCAGCAGUGGGGAAUUUUGGACAAUGGGCGAAAGCCUGAUCCAGCAAUGCCGCGUGCAGGAUGAAGGCCUUCGGGUUGUAAACUGCUUUUGUACGGAACGAAACGAUGAGCUCUAAUCCAGUUUGCUAAUGACGGUACCGUAAGAAUAAGCACCGGCUAACUACGUGCCAGCCGCCGCGGUAA